rnacentral:miRNA from 1 species
UCUCGCUUCCCCGCCUUUCCCG